AGCCUGAUCCAGCAACGCCGCGUGAGGGAUGACGGCCUUCGGGUUGUAAACCUCUUUCAGCAGGGACGAAGCGCAAGUGACGGUACCUGCAGAAGAAGCACCGGCCAACUACGUGCCAGCAGCCGCGGUAAUACGUAGGGUGCGAGCGUUGUCCGGAAUUAUUGGGCGUAAAGGGCUCGUAGGCGGUUUGUCGCGUCGGGAGUGAAAACCAGGUGCUUAACACCUGGCUUGCUUUCGAUACGGGCAGACUAGAGGUAUUCAGGGGAGAACGGAAUUCCUGGUGUAGCGGUGAAAUGCGCAGAUAUCAGGAGGAACACCGGUGGCGAAGGCGGUUCUCUGGGAAUAUCCUGACGCUGAGGAGCGAAAGUGUGGGGAGCGAACAGGAUUAGAUACCCUGGUAGUCCACACCGUAAACGUUGGGCGCUAGGUGUGGGGUCCAUUCCACGGAUUCCGUGCCGCAGCUAACGCAUUAAGCGCCCCGCCUGG
rnacentral:rRNA from 1 species